rnacentral:lncRNA from 1 species
UCUAUCCUAUACAUGCCUUAAACCAUGAUGAUAUACAAUCUUCUCAACUCACAUAAAGACUCGAUAGUGUGAUGAUAUCUCCGGCCCUUCCAACUCGAGCUAAAGUAUAAACCUAUAAGAAAUGGAAAAGAGAACACGGAGUAAGCUUCAAUGCUUAGUAAGUUUUAAGCAAUGCAAACAAUCAAUUUACUUGUAGAUCGAUUAUUCAAAAUUUCAAGAAAUCAUUCCUAGAUAAUUGCCAUUUUGGCCAAGUAUCCAUGAACAUAAUGCAUAUUUAGCAAAUUCACCUCACUUGAAUCUAAACUCAAUUAAAACCAAAUAUUGAAAUCACAAAUAAGAUCAUGCAAACUCAAAAAGCAUCUCAUUAACAAGUUUUAACCAUGUUUGCAACAAAAUCACAAAUUCACUACAAGCUGUCUUCCUGAGCAACAGUCACUAAAUUAUUUAUAACUGGAGCUAAGAAACUCCAAAUCAAGUGCCGUUAAUUUUACCUGAAAAUAGACUCAUAUAUAUUCCAUCCAUAAAAUUUUAAGAAUUUUUAGUUUGACCAAUCAAUACCACAUUUUUAUUGAAGUUUCCUCUGUUUCACUAUUUGACUAUAAUGACCACUCUUCACUACGAAUCAAAUUUCUCAUUAUACAGAAUUUGAAAUAUGUUAUUGUUUAUUUCAUUUGCAACUAGACUCAUUAAGAAAUCUAAGAAUAUAAAUUUUAUCUUAUAACCAUUUUUUUACCAUUUAUAAUGAUUUUCUGAAAACAGAACAGGGGACCUCGAAGUCAUUUUGACUCUAUUCCACGCCACUUCAAAUAUCUCAUUAUUGGCAAUUCUUUUGCUCACACAGUUUCUUUUAUAAGAAACUAGACUCAUUAAGAUUUCAUGACAUAAUUUAUUCAGCUUCUAGCUCAACUCCCACAAUUUAUGGUGAUUUUCUGAAAUCACAUUACUGCUACUGUCCCAAGCAGAUUUAUUACCCAUUCUUGCAUUCAUAUUAUUUAACAUGUAUAUCACCAAAUCAAUCUCAUAUAACCUUUCACCAUAACCGAAUACACACAUACACAUAUGAUAUUUUCACAUAUACUUCUCAUUUCACAUUCAUGAUUCAAUUCCGAUCAAUCUAACAUAUAAAAGUAUAUAAUACAUACCUGACCAACUUAAUGUAUUUGACAUAUUCAAUGGUAGUUUACUAUGAACAUUCGAAAUCAUAAUCUUACUCCAAUCAUCGACAUUAAGUCUGCUAGGUUUAAAACCCAAAUCCAAUCACCACCACAAAGCAUGCGGGACUUUAAGCCGUGAUAUAAUACCAGCACGAAUGCCUUCGGGGCUUAGCCUGGAUAUAACACCAACACGAAUGCCUUCGGGGCUUAGCCCGGAUAUAACACCCUCACAAAUGCCUUCGGGACUUAGCCCAGAUAUAACACCAGCAUGAAUGCCUUCGGAACUUAGCCCGAAUAUAACACCAGCACGAAUGCCUUCAGGACUUAGCCCGAAUAUAAUUCUCCAUUAUCAUGCACAUAUUUAUAUAUAUAUAUAUCAUAACACAUUAGCAUUUCAUUUACAUUACUUGAACACAAGCACAACGUGCUUAUUAACCAUUCCACUUUCUGCUCAAUAGCCACAUACAAAGAACACGAUUUCGUUUCGCUAUCCAACAUGAUUUCUAUAACCAUUCGGCUACAAGUCAUAUGCAUAAAUUAUUUAUCCCACUACGUAAUUCAAGUAGAACCAAUAGGUCACAAUUUAUUUAUUUUGCUUAUAUACCAUGAUUUUAUCAAAUCAUAAGCUAAGUUUCAUUACUCAAAGACUUACCUCGGAUAUUUUUGAACAGUGGCGAAUAGGCUAUUCGAUUGCUUUCUCCUUUCCCUUAUCAGAUCUAGAUCCUCUUUGCUCUUGAGCUUAAUUUAAAACAAUUGACUUUAUUUAAUUUCUAAUCAAAUAGGCGAUUUAAUAUAAUACAUGUAUAUUAUAAGGUUGAGGUACAUAUGACUUAAUGAUUAACUAUCAAACACCAUAUAUAUAUUCUCUAGUCAUGCACAACCAAACAACUUACUUAGGCAUUAACAACUUUAUAGUUAUAUGCAUAUCUAUGUUAAGACCAAUUAUAUAUUUAAUAAAUUCUACAAAUAUGGUUAUUUAUAAUGACUAAAUACCAUUAUAUCUCAAGUUAUACUUAUAAGCACAUCCACCUAAAUACAUUCGUACUUAAACAUCAUUCUGACCGAAUACUCAUUUAGUCACUAACAUAUUAUUAAUCACUUCCAAAGCCAAGAAGACAUAUUUAAACUUAGUACAUUUUCACUCAAAUGCAAAACUGAUGUAUCGAAAUAAUAUUUCACAUACAUAUACUAAUCAUUUAAAGAAUAUAUUUCAUUGUAUAUACACAUAUAUAUAAGAACCAUUCGUAACAUACUUAUUACUCAUUCACAAAGCAAAAUACUCAUAUCACAUUUAUAAAAUUACAAGCCGAAUAUACCUAUACUUACAUCACUUAAACAUCAACACUCAAUUUCUUUGACAAAGCACAUUUUCGAAAAUGACAAGGCAAUAUAACAGCCUUUAAUCCUACUUAUAAUUCAUGCAUAUCACAUUCCAAGCAUUCCCUCUAUUCCAUCAUUUAAAAUACAAAGAUUAUUCAAUAAUUUCCUAGUUCAAAUUCAGAAAUUACACCAAUACACCAGAUGAUUUAUUAUUAUUAUUGUUCAUUCAUUUAAACUACUUACAAAUACCUUAAACUAUCUCAAUUAUCAACCAUUUGUGAAUUAUUCAUUAAACUUGAAAACAACCAUAUACCUCUUUCAUUUUUUACCAUGGUCGAAUGCUCAAGACACCACACAAUUCCAAAUUUGGUCAUGGGUAAAGAACUUAAUAACUAACUCAAAAUAUGCUAAAAAUCCAAGAAUUAUCAUUGAACUUACCUUAAUUUAGCUAACCACCAUAGCCGAAUUUCUCAAAGCUUUCAUUCUUCU